CCUAGCCCCAACUCGUCGUCGGUUCCUUUCUCCAACCGGCGCUAACCGUUUUCCCCAAAACCGUCGACGUCGUUUCCCCCUUCUCCUCCUCCUCCUACUUCUUCUCCCAAAACCCGAUCACUUUCCUCCUCUUCCCUUCCUCUCGCCACUGACGCCCUGAUCAUCUUCUUCUCUGCCCUAAUCUGCACGUCGGCUGUUUCCUCUGUGCCAGCCACCGAGAUUCCCCAGCCGAUCUCUCAUCGUGCCUUAGCCAUUCCCGACAGCGCCUUCUCCUUCUCACCGCGUGGAGCGCCCUCUCCUCUCCCGAUCGAGCCGCGCCUUCUCUUCCUCUACUCGCUUCGCCCUCGGGUCGCCACAGCCGGCAACGGUUGCUUGCCGACGCCCUCUCCGAUCUCCUCUUCGCAACGCCACACCACCGCCGCCUCCCACACGGGUUCUUGUCUGUCACGCGACGCAGACGUCGGUUCCCCCUCCACCGAUCACUGGAGUUCAACCGGUGGUUCUUCUUCCCGGGUCGUCGAGUCAGUGCAGGUUGAUUCACGAUUAAGAUGAGAGGGAGCCGAGCCCUAACUACCGAUUCUCCUCAGACGCCCUUUGCCCUAGUCUCCAGCCGCGUGCCCUAGUUUUUGGCCGCCGCCGCACCUCUGCACCUCACUGUUCCAACCACCGGAUCUACUUCAUCCACAUUGUGCCCUAGUCUGGAUCAAAUGCCCUCUUCGCCAUCGCUGACCUAGGGCUCUGGCGGUCAGUGUUGAGUGAAGAAUUCCAGCAGCCAACAGCCCUUAACGGCAGCAAUUCCAGUCAGCAACUCUUUGAUUCCAGUACAAAGCAGUGACUGUGAAUUUAGGUUGAGGCUGUUCGGGAGAUUUUCAGUCGCUAGUCCCCCCUCCAGAUUGCGAGGAUUUCUAUUUUGGAUCUUUUCCUUGGUUUUCUUAUUUAUGUUAUCGACUCUUAUUGUAUUUCAGACUUGUAUGUUUUGGCAUCUUGGAUAUCUUAUGACCUUUUAUUUGUCGAUGGAUUUUUAUU